rnacentral:rRNA from 1 species
CCUACGGGAGGCAGCAGUGGGGGAUAUUGCACAAUGGGGGAAACCCUGAUGCAGCGACGCCGCGUGUGGGAAGACGGUCCUCUGGAUUGUAAACCACUGUCCCCAGGGACGAAGAUGACGGUACCUGGGGAGGAAGCUCCGGCUAACUACGUGCCAGCAGCCGCGGUAAUACGUAGGGAGCGAGCGUUGUCCGGAAUUACUGGGUGUAAAGGGCGCGUAGGCGGGGAUGAAAGUUGGGGGUAAAAACUACGGGCUCAACUGGUAGUCGCACUCAAAACUGCAGCUCUUGAGUGAACUAGAGGCAGGCGGAAUUCCUAGUGUAGCGGUGAAAUGCAUAGAUAUUAGGAGGAACACCAGUGGCGAAGGCGGCCUGCUGGGCUUUUACUGACGCUGAGGCUCGAAAGUGUGGGGAGCAAACAGGAUUAGAUACCCGAGUAGUC